rnacentral:RNase_P_RNA from 1 species
CAAGCAGACUGCCUUAUCGCUAGUUCAGUUUUGAAUUAGAGGAAAGUCCGGACACCAAAGAGUAGCAUAGUGGGUAACGCCCAUCCGUGGUUCGCCAUGAGGACAAGUGCAACAGAAAGUAUGUACAGGUAAUGCUGUAGUGAAACCAGGUAAACUCUAUGCGGUGAAAUGUCAUGUAUAUUUAGCGUUUGAGGGCUACUCGCUCGAUGCUUUAGGGGUAGGCAGAUUGAGCCAUCGAGUAAUUGAUGGCCUAGAUAAAUGAUAAGGGUGUUCUUCGGAACAUACAGAAUCCGGCUUAUAAGUCUGCUUUUUUA